rnacentral:rRNA from 1 species
GGCGUGUACUGUCUGGCUGGGCCUUACCUCUUGGUGAGCCGGCGUGCCCUUUAUUGGUGUGCGUCGGGGAACCAGGACUUUUACCUUGAGAAAAUUAGAGUGUUCAAAGCAGGCCUAUGCCCGAAUACAUUAGCAUGGAAUAAUAAAAUAGGACGUGCGGUUCUAUUUUGUUGGUUUCUAGAGUCGCCGUAAUGAUUAAUAGGGACAGUUGGGGGCAUUGGUAUUGAGUCGCUAGAGGUGAAAUUCUUGGAUUGACUCAAGACCGACUACUGCGAAAGCAUUUGCCAAGGAUGUUUUCAUUAAUCAAGAACGAAGGUUAGGGGAUCGAAAACGAUCAGAUACCGUUGUAGUCUUAACAGUAAACUAUGCCGACUAGGGAUCGGGCGAUCUCAAAUUUAAUGUGUCGCUCGGCACCUUACGAGAAAUCAAAGUCUUUGGGAUCUGGGGGGAGUAUGGUCGCAAGGCUGAAACUUAAAGGAAUUGACGGAAGGGCACCACCAGGCGUGGAGCCUGCGGCUUAAUUUGACUCAACACGGGGAAACUCACCAGGUCCAGACAUAACUAGGAUUGACAGAUUGAUAGCUCUUUCAUGAUUUUAUGGGUGGUGGUGCAUGGCCGUUCUUAGUUGGUGGAGUGAUUUGUCUGGUUAAUUCCGAUAACGAACGAGACCUUAACCUGCUAAAUAGCCAGGCCGGCUUCUGCUGGUCGCAGGCUUCUUAGAGGGACUGUCGG